AUUAUAGUUCAGGAACUGAUGGAUACUGGUUUGGCCUGAGAGCUGAAGGUGGGAGAUGGAAGUGGAUUGAUGGAAGUAAUCUGACUGUAAGCUACUGGACACCACAACCUCCUCCUACUGCUACUGAUGGUCAGUGUGUAAUGUCUGUCCAAAACGUAGGAUGGAGAUCAGUGAACUGUGCUGAGAAAAAACAAUGGAUCUGUAAAAAGAAGGCUUUAUCUGUUUAAACACUGCAGUCAGACUCUGUAAUGAUAAUAUCAACUUUUUUAAUAAAAAGGAUCAGGGGUUUUAUUUUUUAUAGAAAACGAGAAAAGAAAUAUUUACAGUGAAUUAUUUUUCAAAGCUGUUUGUGUGUCUCGGAAUAAAAACAGACACUUAGAUUUGAAUACAUUUAGAUAUUUGAUUAUAUAGGUAUGCUAAUGUAAGUCUGUGAAACAUACAGUGACUAGACUGAAGGGACACUGUUAUCAUUGAUACCUGUUGAAUGAGCUUUUG